UGAGGGAAUAUUGGGUCAAUGGACGGGAGUCUGAACCAGCCAAGUAGCGUACAGGAUGACGGCCCUAUGGGUUGUAAACUGCUUUUGUGCGGGGAUAAAGUGUGGGACGCGUCCCAUAUUGCAGGUACCGCAUGAAUAAGGACCGGCUAAUUCCGUGCCAGCAGCCGCGGUAAUACGGAAGGUCCGGGCGUUAUCCGGAUUUAUUGGGUUUAAAGGGAGCGUAGGCCGGAGAUUAAGCGUGUUGUGAAAUGCCGCGGCUCAACCGUGGCACUGCAGCGCGAACUGGUUUUCUUGAGUGCGCGCGACGCAGGCGGAAUUCGUGGUGUAGCGGUGAAAUGCUUAGAUAUGACGAAGAACUCCGAUUGCGAAGGCAGCCUGCUGUAGCGCAACUGACGCUGAAGCUCGAAAGCGUGGGGUAUCGAACAGGAUUAGAUACCCUGGU
rnacentral:rRNA from 1 species